rnacentral:rRNA from 1 species
AUUGAACGCUGGCGGCAGGCCUAACACAUGCAAGUCGAACGAGUGGCGGACGGGUGAGUAAUGUCUGGGAAACUGCCUGUUGGAGGGGGAUAACUACUGGAAACGGUAGCUAAUACCGCAUACCAUCGGAUGUGCCCAGAUGGGAUUAGCUUGUAGUUGGGGGAACGGCUCACCUAGGCGACGAUCCCUAGCCGGUCUGAGAGGAUGACCGGCCACACUGGAACUGAGACACGGUCAAGAGUCCUCCGGGAGGCAGCAGUGGGGAAUAUUGCACAAUGGGCGCAAGCCUGAUGCAGCCAUGCCGCGUGUAUGAAGAAGGCCUUCGGGUUGGAAAGUACUUUCAGCGGGGAGGCGUUACCCGCAGAAGAAGCACCGGCUAACUCCGUGCCAGCAGCCGCGGUAAUAC